UUCCACCACAACAAACACUGGAUAAGUUCCAGCUCCCGCACCUCACUUCCGCUGCUGCUCCUCUGCUGACGUGCGUGGCCCGCCUUCGUGCGUCUGCGCAUUUAGGACCAAGUGCUGUGAAAUGGUCUGAAGGUGUGAGCUUUAGUAAGGCUUCAGCUUUAUGUGAAGAAAAAUGAAAAAAUGUGCCAGCCUGCUCCAGGAAAGCACUCUCGAGCCCAAGGUUUCAGUCCAUGACCUGUCAGAAGAAUUUAUGUACCCACUGGAACCCUACCAAACACCCCAUAUGAUGAACAUGGUCAUCUUCACCUCGAAGGACAAACAAGAUAGAUGAGCUUUUAGCACAGAUCUAAGCAAGGCCUUGCCAUCUACGAAAAUGAUCCUAACUGCAAAUUUUGGACUCUGCUAUCAACAUAGUGUGAAAAAAGCAACUUUCACUUGGUUUUCAGCUUCUUGUUUCUGCCAUUGUAGGAACUCCUGUGCCUGCUCUGAGAUGUUUUUAAAAUUAUUUAAGAGAUAGUAAAGAGUUGAAUAGAGGACAGAUGUGCUCGUAAGUUAUGGCAGUCUUAUACAAAAGUGAAAGCAUCUCAAACCAUUGUCACCAUUGAAAUAUUGUACUUAUUUUGUGGGACUGAAUGAUCUCAGAGAUUGCAACACAGCCUUUAAGUUAAUUUUAGAAAGCUGUCAAACUUUAUUUGAAAUUUAACCUACAUGUGUUACCAUCAAUUUUUUCCGUAGAAUGAUUUAUCACUCCAUGGAGCAAUGGCAAUAUCAAGGUAUAUGCAAUCUUAAAUGUGGUCUGUUCCACAUAAGUGAAUGGGUUACAAUUCAGGAGAUGCAUUGCAAGAAUUUCAAACUGUUUUUAUAAGUAGAUAAUGCAUGCAAUGAAACUAGUAGCUUAUGAAAAAUACAUCACAUGAGCAUCAAAAGGAUGUUAACUAUGUUGUCACUUGAAUGUUUUACAUUCUGUGAUAUCUUAUCCUGAAAUAAAGUAAUCAUUUUUAUAUUUACCGACA